GACGAACGCUGGCGGCGUGCUUAACACAUGCAAGUCGAACGGAAAGGCCCUGCUUUCGUGGGGUGCUCGAGUGGCGAACGGGUGAGUAACACGUGAGUAACCUGCCCUUGACUUUGGGAUAACUUCAGGAAACUGGGGCUAAUACCGGAUAGGAGCUCCUGCUGCAUGGUGGGGGUUGGAAAGUUUCGGCGGUUGGGGCUGGACUCGCGGCUUAUCCGCUUGUUGGUGGGGUAGUGGCUUACCAAGGCUUUGACGGGUAGCCGGCCUGAGAGGGUGACCGGCCACAGUGGGACUGAGAUACGGCCCAGACUCCGACGGGAGGCAGCAGUGGGGAAUAUUGCACAAUGGGCGGAAUCCUGAUGCAGCAACGCCGCGUGGGGGAUGACGGCCUUCGGGUUGUAAACCGCUUGCGCCUGUGACGAAGCGUGAGUGACGGUAAUGGGUAAAGAAGCACCGGCUAACUACGUG
rnacentral:rRNA from 1 species